CAUUUAUCUGUAUUCCUAGGGCAUCAUUAAUUUGAGUACCAGUGAAAACAAACUCUGCUUUGAUCUAAUAUCCCAAAAGCUGGCCCAAAGUGCCGUGAAACUCACAGAUCCUUCCCUGCUGGAGUAUCCUGACUGGAAGGGCCAUAUGUUUGUGCUAGAGGAAGUGGCUCGAUUUUUGACCUAUUAUAGCAAAGCCCCUGCACCUCUCAAAGCAGAAAAUGUGAUUCUGCAGAAUGGCUGUGGAUCUUUGUUUUCUAGUUUGGCUAUGGUUCUGUGUGAUC